ensembl:lncRNA
CGGCCCUACUCUGAGAUGAAACGUGUGAGUUGUCGGCCCUACUCUGAGGUGAAACGUGUGAGUUGUCGGCACUAAUCAGAGCUGAAACUUUUGAGUUGUCAUUGGUCUCUUUACAUAUUGGUGCCUUUGCCAUCAUUAAUGCAAGCAUUUCUAUACUCACUCCAGCAAUGUGUGUAAUGUCUAGUGACGUACAUGUUCUUACGGUAUGUGGUAUACAGUGUCUAGUAGAGCCCAAAUGCCUUAUGACCUCCUUUCACUAUAGUCAACUAUAGCUGACAUGAUAGUUCUCUUGCCUUGGCACGUGCAGCAGACAUUGUCUCUUGGUAAAUAUGAUCUUAUAGCCCCUGUCAACUGUUGCCUUACACAAGUUAGUGAGUUGAGUUGUUGCCUUAUAUCUGGUUAUGGCUUUACACGCCUUGUGCAUUUUUGAUAUAUUCCAAUUUGUGCAUCAACAAGUUACAUCCAAAUCAAUAAAUCGAUGAGCAUUGUUUUUGUGGCCAAUUUUAAAGAUGGCUGAAUGCCUGUAGCUGAAGGCUAGUUGAAGGCCAGCAGCUGAAGGCUAGUUGAAGGCCAGCAGCUGAAGGCUAGUUGAAGGCCAGCAGCUGAAGGCUAGUUGAAGGCCAGCAGCUGAAGGCUAGUUGAAGGCCAGCAGCUGAAGGCUAGUUGAAGGCCAGCAGCUGAAGGCCAGCGGCUGAAGGCCAGCGGCUGAAGGCCAGCGGCUGAAGGCCAGCGGCUGAAGGCCAGCGGCUGAAGGCCAGCGGCUGAAUGCUAGUUGAAGGUCAGCAGCUGAAGGCUAGUUGAAGGCCAGCAGCUGAAGGCUAGUUGAAGGCCAGUAGUUCAAUGCUAGUUGAAGGCCAGCAGCUGAAGGCUAGUUGAAGGCCAGUAGCUGAAGGCUAGUUGAAGGCCAACUAAAAGCCACUGGUUUAUGUCUGUAUGCUGCUCACUGUUCUAAAGAGUUAAGCCAUGAAGAAAACACCUUCCGUUUGAUUUUUUUAUUGAGGUGGAAAGCUGACAAAAUAAAUUAUGGUGAAUGAUGUUGAAUGACAUCCUGGUAUGAUAUGAAGAUACUAAUUAUUAUUUUUGAGAAUAUGUAUAUAGUUUGUAUGUUUCUGUAAAUACUACAUCCUCAGUUCACUGUGGUAUCACCCUGUUAAUUUUGUACAUUUUAAAACGUGAAAAAUAUGUUGUACAUAUUACAGAUUUGUUUUAUUUAUUUAUAUAUAUAUACACAUGUAUAAAUAUCUUGAUUGGAUGUUUUAUUUUCCUAAGCUCUCGUGUCUACUGUGAAUGGUUACACAGUUGUUAAUAUUGUCCCAUCAUCAUAACCAACCAACCAAUGUUCAUUAUCUUGAUUCAUUAUCCAUUGAAUCAUUAUCUUGGUUGUGUGAAUGACACUGCUGGUUCUGAACAACAGUGUAAAGUUCAGAUCCAUAUAUAGACAUACAUCUAUGGUUCUGGUGAAGUUGAUGUUUGUUCUGUUAUAUGGUUAUGUUUUCAUUCACAGCUGAUUGAGGAUCAGUUGUGGUGUGUAAAGCACAAUGUUGUGUAUCACCCUAAGAUGUACGAGUCCACAGGACAGAGCACCAACAGAUUGCCUGUUACAUGCAAAUUGCUCUUCUUGUUGAGUCUUAAUCUUCCUGUUCAGAGAAUCCAAUCUCAAAGUGACCAUUGUAUAGUUUGUGUUGUGAUUAUUUUGUUUAAUAAAAGAUAAAUGAUGAUCAAGUUUUAUCUGUCACGUCUCUUUCGUCCCACUGCACAGAUACUGUCUUCCUUGUAUGGCUGUGUCAUCGUUAGAACAAAAAAACACACAACCUGUCCUUAACGUUCUGGCCACUGAACAUACUGUAUUACUCAUCCCGUUCCUGAUAACGGUGGGAAGCCAAUCUAAUACGGCUUUUUGAUGUAGGCUUUCAGUUUUACUGUUUGUUCGGGGCGAAGGCCUAAGCUACAACUUAUUUUUGUUCUCGGUCAGUUGUUGUUAAUGCUUCAUAAGGUUGUUUUUUGUGCUCAGUAUUGUAUUCAGUCUCUGACAUCAUCUCCUUCCUGUCAGUGUGUUUCACAAAGCCUUUUACCACCAGUGUAAGUCCAGCUUUUGUUAUCACGUGUCAAGGUGAAGAUGCAGCAAGGUAUCAAAUAAAUGGAGCCGGCACACUCAUAAACUCCACCACGCAUCUAUUCAUAAACAAGGUUUCAUCAGGACCUGAUGAAGAUCCUUGCAGGAACUAAACGUUGUGGUUAGAACGUUGGGCCCAGUAACCGAUAGGUUUCUGGAUCGAAUCCCCGAGCUAACGAGGUAAAAAUCUGUCGUUCUGCCCCUGAACAAACAACUGAACCUUAUUCCCCGGUUGGCUGUCAUUGUAAAUAAGAAUGUGU